rnacentral:misc_RNA from 1 species
UUGUUUAUUUAAAAUAUAAACUCAGACAAAAUUGAUAAAAUAUAGAGUUAAUGGUUCCUUUGGUGAAGACACAUCCAUCUCUUGCAAGAUCAAUGGGCCUAACCGAAGCUAAACACGCUUCACCAAAGUAAUAUAAAAAGUAACACAAAGGGUGGGAGAUUCUACAACAAGUAUAGAAAAAUCUCGGUAAUGAUCCUUCCGCAGGUUCACCUACGGAAA